rnacentral:rRNA from 1 species
CGCUAUACAUGCAGUCGAACGAAGUAGCAAUACUUAGUGGCAGACGGGUGAGUAACAUGUGGGUAUCUUCCCUUUGGUGAGGAAUAACACGAGGAAACUUGUGCUAAUACCUCAUAAGUCUUUACGGAGAAAGCUUUAUGCGCCAUUGGAUGAGCCUGCACUUGAUUAGUUUGUUGGUGGGGUAAUGGCCUACCAAGACUUUGAUCAAUAGCUGAUUUGAGAGGAUGAUCAGCCACAUUGGGACUGAGACACGGCCCAAACUCCUACGGGAGGCAGCAGUAGGGAAUCUUGCACAAUGGAGGAAACUCUGAUGCAGCGAUGCCGCGUGAGUGAAGAAGGCCUUUGGGUUGUAAAGCUCUUUCGUCGGGGAAGAAAAUGACUGUACCCGAAUAAGAAGGUCCGGCUAACUUCGUGCCAGCAGCCGCGGUAAUACGAAGGGACCUAGCGUAGUUCGGAAUUACUGGGCUUAAAGAGUUCGUAGGUGGUUAAAAAAGUUGGUGGUGAAAGCCCAGAGCUUAACUCUGGAACUGCCAUCAAAACUUUUUAGCUAGAGUGUGAUAGAGGAAAGCAGAAUUUCUAGUGUAGAGGUGAAAUUCGUAGAUAUUAGAAAGAAUACCAAUUGCGAAGGCAGCUUUCUGGAUCAUUACUGACACUGAGGAACGAAAGCAUGGGUAGCGAAGAGGAUUAGAUACCCUCGUAGUCCAUGCCGUAAACGAUGUGUGUUAGAUGUUGGAAAUUUAUUUUCAGUAUCGCAGCGAAAGCGAUAAACACACCGCCUGGGGAGUACGACCGCAAGGUUAAAACUCAAAUGAAUUGACGGGGACCCGCACAAGUAGUGGAGCAUGUGGUUUAAUUCGAAGAUACGCGCAGAACCUUACCAACACUUGACAUGUUCGUCGCGACUCUAGAGAUUAGAGUUUUCGGUUCGGCCGGACGAAACACAGGUGCUGCAUGGCUGUCGUCAGCUCGUGUCGUG